GCUCAUUUCCAUACAGGGGCUGGGUCAGAUCUGUGCAGGGAUUUAAUAGGGAUCCUGAUAGGAGAUACAGUACCAUAGUAGCAGAGCCAUCCUGUACUGAACCAUGUCCUGGGCUGCCCUCCUCCUCUCUCUCACCUCUCUCUGCACAUAUUCGGCCGCCCAAGUCUCACUAACACAGCCGGUGUCUGAAUCAGUGAAGCCGGGGGAGACAGUGAGAAUCUCCUGCACACUCAGUGGUUACAGUAUCGGUGAUCGCUAUGUGUACUGGUUCCAGCAGAAAUCAGGGAAUCCCCCUAGAUACUUACUGUGGUUUGAUUCAGACUCAAGCAAACACCAUGGAGCUGGGGUGCCUGAUCGGUUUUCUGGAUCCAAAGAUUCCCCUAAUAAUGUUGGCUAUUUAACCAUUAGAGGAGCCUUACUAGAAGAUGAUGCAGAUUAUUACUGUGCUAUAUGGUAUUCUAGCUCGUUGCACAGUGGUGUAUUGCCGUGAGGAACUGAAACAAAAGUUCAGAUACAUUAGCAUUGGUGUAUUUACUUAAAAAAGGGCCAGGGGGCAGCAGGAAUUGUGGAAAUAUUCUGUUUAUCCUG